UUACUUUGGCAGAUUAGUGUAUAUAAUUUAGAAUUAUAUUAAGUAAAUUUUUACAAGUAAUAU
rnacentral:tRNA from 3 species